AUUGAACGCUGGCGGCAGGCCUAACACAUGCAAGUCGAGCGGAUGAAGGGAGCUUGCUCCUGGAUUCAGCGGCGGACGGGUGAGUAAUGCCUAGGAAUCUGCCUGGUAGUGGGGGCUAACGUCCGGACACGGGCGCUAAUACCGCAUACGUCCUGAGGGAGAAAGUGGGGGAUCUUCGGACCUCACGCUAUCAGAUGAGCCUAGGUCGGAUUAGCUAGUUGGUGGGGUAAGGGCCUACCAAGGCGACGAUCCGUAACUGGUCUGAGAGGAUGAUCAGUCACACUGGAACUGAGACACGGUCCAGACUCCUACGGGAGGCAGCAGUGGGGAAUAUUGGACAAUGGGCGAAAGCCUGAUCCAGCCAUGCCGCGUGUGUGAAGAAGGUCUUCGGAUUGUAAAGCACUUUAAGUUGGGAAGAAGGGCAGUAAGUUAAUACCUUGCUGUUUUGACGUUACCAACAGAAUAAGCACCGGCUAACUUCGUG
rnacentral:rRNA from 1 species